rnacentral:rRNA from 1 species
UGAGCAAUCUGCCCUUCUCAUCGGAAUAAGCGUUGGAAACGACGUCUAAUGCCGAAUACGACCUCCUUUCGCAUGAUCGGAGGUGGAAAGCUCCGGCGGAGAAGGAUGAGCUCGCGGCCUAUCAGCUAGUUGGUGUGGGUAACGCCCACCAAGGCGACGACGGGUAGCCGGCCUGAGAGGGUGACCGGCCACACUGGGACUGAGACACGGCCCAGACUCCUACGGGAGGNAG